rnacentral:rRNA from 1 species
GAUUAAGCCAUGCAUGUCUAAGUAUAAGCAAUUAUACAGCGAAACUGCGAAUGGCUCAUUAUAUAAGUUAUCGUUUAUUUGAUAGUACCUUACUACAUGGAUAACCGUGGUAAUUCUAGAGCUAAUACAUGCUAAAAAUCCCAACUUCGGAAGGGAUGUAUUUAUUAGAUUAAAAACCAAUGCCCUUCGGGGCUGACAGGUGAUUCAUAAUAACUUCUCGAAUCGCAUGGCCUUGCGCCGGCGAUGGUUCAUUCAAAUUUCUUCCCUAUCAACUUUCGAUGUUUGGGUAGUGGCCAAACAUGGUGGCAACGGGUAACGGAGGGUUAGGGCUCGACCCCGGAGAAGGAGCCUGAGAAACGGCUACUACAUCCAAGGAAGGCAGCAGGCGCGCAAAUUACCCAAUGCUGACUCAGCGAGGUAGUGACAAUAAAUACUGAUACAGGGCUCUUUUGGGUCUUGUAAUCGGAAUGAGUACAAUUUAAAUCCCUUAACGAGGAACAAUUGGAGGGCAAGUCUGGUGCCAGCAGCCGCGGUAAUUCCAGCUCCAAUAGCGUAUAUUAAAGUUGUUGUGGUUAAAAAGCUCGUAGUUGAACCUUGGGCCUGGCUGGCCGGUCCGCCUCACCGCGUGUACUGGUCCGGCCGGGCCUUUCCCUCUGUGGAACCCCAUGCCCUUAACUGGGUGUGGCGGGGAAACAGGACUUUUACUUUGAAAAAAUUAGAGUGCUCCAGGCAGGCCUAUGCUCGAAUACAUUAGCAUGGAAUAAUAGAAUAGGACGUGUGGUUCUAUUUUGUUGGUUUCUAGGACCGCCGUAAUGAUUAAUAGGGACAGUCGGGGGCAUCAGUAUUCAAUUGUCAGAGGUGAAAUUCUUGGAUUUAUUGAAGACUAACUACUGCGAAAGCAUUUGCCAAGGAUGUUUUCAUUAAUCAGGAACGAAAGUUAGGGGAUCGAAGACGAUCAGAUACCGUCGUAGUCUUAACCAUAAACUAUGCCGACUAGGGAUCGGGCGAUGUUACUAUUUGACUCGCUCGGCACCUUACGAGAAAUCAAAGUGCUUGGGCUCCAGGGGGAGUAUG